rnacentral:rRNA from 1 species
GUCUAUGGCCAUACCACCCUGAACAUGCCCAAUCUCGUCUGAUCUCCGAAGCUCUGCAGGGUCGGGCCUGGUUAGGAAGAUCUUGGAUGGAAGAAUAAUUUCUAAGGAGUUAGAAAUU